UGUGCCGGAAUUUUAAUAAGCCCUCCCGUAACGCUGUCGAUGUUUUGUAAAAAAUACCUCAUUUCCUUCACUGAGCAUUAUUUACAAAAUGAAAUAAAUGAAAGUGACAACAAUGAACUGCUCAGCUUGAAAACAAUUUUUAUGUUUGUUGUGUACGACGUACGUUCUGCUCCAUUACAGUCACUUGAACAGAACAUCCGGUACAUGAACCAUUAGAUGUACAAUAAUAAUUAAUUACUCUUUGGCAAGCACGGGCAUCCGUCCGACCACGUUAGUGACGGUCCAUCGGUAGAACGGUCAAUCAUUAAAUCCACAUAUACCUAU